ACACGUGCUACAAUGGUCGGUACAACGAGAAGACAAGUCAGCGAUGGGCAAGCAAAUCUCUAAAAGCCGAUCCCAGUUCGGAUUGCAGGCUGCAACUCGCCUGCAUGAAGUCGGAGUUGCUAGUAAUCGCGGAUCAGAAUGCCGCGGUGAAUGCGUUCCCGGGUCUU
rnacentral:rRNA from 1 species